rnacentral:tRNA from 1 species
GGGGCUGUAGCUCAUCGGUCAGAGCAGGCGGCUCAUAACCACUUGGUAGAUGGUUCAACUCCAUCCAGCCCCACCA